rnacentral:rRNA from 1 species
GACGAACGCUGGCGGCGGGCUUAACACAUGCAAGUCGAACGGAAAGGCCCUGCUCUUGGGGGGUGCUCGAGUGGCGAACGGGUGAGUAACACGUGAGUAACCUGUCCUUGACUUUGGGAUAACUUCAGGAAACUGGGGCUAAUACCGGAUAGGAGCUCUUGCUGCAUGGUGGGGGUUGGAAAGUUUCGGCGGUUGGGGAUGGACUCGCGGCUUAUCAGCUUGUUGGUGGGGUAGUGGCUUACCAAGGCUUUGACGGGUAGCCGGCCUGGGAGGGUGACCGGCCCCAUUGGGCCUGAGCUACGGCCCAGACUCCUACGGUACGCAGCAGUGGGGAAUAUUGCACAAUGGGCGGAAGCCUGAUGCAGCAACGCCGCGUGCGGGAUGACGGCCUUCGGGUUGUAAACCGCUUUCGCCUGUGCCGAAGCGUGAGUGACGGUAAUGGGUAAAGAAGCCCCGGCUAACUACGUG